UAAAGAUAGAUCUCUGCUGUGAUUCACGGUGAUGGUGUGCUCAGCUAAAAAAUAUGUUACUAGCCUCUCUUACAACUAGAUGUGGCCAUGUGACCCAAUUCUGGCCAUUGCAAGAAGCAAGCAGAGGUGCACAAAUUUCCUGGGUGGAUACCUUUUGCAAUUUUAAUUAUAGAAGAGCGUUAACUCUUGGCAAAACAAAGCUACUGGGUUUCCUGCCUCAGAGAAACCUUUAAAUAGGAUUGGAGAAGAUUCUAGGAACUAACUUUAUGUAUCUUGCAAGAAGUUGCUGUGGCCAAGUUCAAAAAGGGUGUUGCCUGUGUUCUCC